UCUCAAACUCCUGACCUCAUGUGAUCCCUCCGCCUCAGCCUCCCAAAGUGCUGGGAUUAUAGGCAUGAGUCAUCGCACCCAACACUGUCUUUAUUUAAUAUUACUAUUUUUUUUGUGAUGACACUUAACAUAAGAUCUACCCUCAUAAAAAAAAUUUUAGUAUACAAUACAGUAUUGUUAACUAUAAACACUGUGCUAUAGAGUCGAUGUCUAGGUCUCAGGCAUCUUGCAUAGCUGAAACUUUGUGCCCCUUGACAUUCUCCCCAACCCCUGACAACCACCAUUUCCUGCUCUGCUUCUGUAAGUUUGACUAUUUUCGAUUCCUCACAUAAGUGGCAUCAGUUAUUAUUUGUUUUCUGGCUCUCAAUUAUUUCACUUGAUGAAUGUACUCCAGGUUCAUUCAUGUUACUGAAAACGGCAGAAUUCCUCUCCUGUCCCCUGCCCUCACCAUUGAGGACCUAAAGGAUAAUGAAAGGGGGGAAUCUGUGCCCUAAAUAAUCCCUUUUGGCAGUUACUUUCUGUUUUCAAAGUUCAGCUCUCCCUCUCCCUCUCCCUCUCCCUCUCCCUCUCCCUCUCUCUCUCCCUCUCUCUCCACGGUCUCCCUCUCCCUCUCCCUCUCUCUCCACGGUCUCCCUCUCCCUCUCGCUCUCUCUCCACGGUCUCCCUCUCCCUCUCCCUCUCUCUCCACGGUCUCCCUCUCCCUCUCCCUCUCUCUCCACGGUCUCCUUCUGUUGCCGAGCCAAGGCUGGACUGUACUGCCGCCAUCUCCGCUCACUGCAACCUCCCUGCCUGAUUCUCCUGCCUCAGCCUGCCUGGGAUUGCAGGCGCGCGCCGCCAUGCCUGACUGGUUUUUGCUGGAGUGCAGUGGCGUGAUCUCGGCUCGCUACAACCUCCACCUCCCAGCCGCCUGCCUUGGCCUCCCAAAGUGCUGAGAUUGCAGCUUCUGCCCGGCUGCCACCCCAUCUGGGAAGUGAGGAGCGUCUCUGCCUGGCCGCCUAUCGUCUGGGAAGUGAGGAGCGCCUCUUCCCGGCCGCCAUCCCGUCUGGGAAGUGACCAGCGUCUCUGCCCGGCCGCCCAUCGUCUGAGAUGUGGGGAGCGCCUCUGCCCCGCCGCCCCGUCUGGGAUGUGAGGAGCGCCUCUGCCCGGUCGCGACCCCGUCUGGGAACUGAGGAGUGUCUCUGCCCGACCGUCACCCCGUCUGGGAGAAAUUCGACAGGGAAGAAAAGCAAGUCACCAGGGACUGUAUCCUUGAUUAGUGGCUGCGAUCCUGCAACACACUUCAUCCUGCCCAAUCCCCAUCGAUGUUGGCAUUUUCCUACUCAAUUGAUGUCCUCAUAUUUUCCCUGCUCCAUCUACACACCAUAUAUUUCCUCAGGUGCUACAAACAAGUUCCAAACUUUAUUGGACAGGGGAAGAAGUAGAAGAAACAAGAAGUAUUAUUAAAAUGAAUGGAGUUAAAAUGGGACAGAGGUGAGAAGAAGGAGCUAGAAAACUUUAAAUAAAAUGCACCUACAGCUAAGGAAAUAGACAAGCCUUUCUGAUGGCUCUCAUGGCUCUGCGUUUACAUACUACAGAUUCCUCCUGGAUGAAACAGAAGCCGGGCUGCUGAUGCAGCUGGAGGAGGAAGCGAGAGGUUCCAACGGCAUGACUCCUUGGCAUUUCACACAUCCAUAGAAAUAACCCAUCUAUGAUUUCCACAAGACAAUUUUUUCUUAGUCCCCACUUUUCAGUGUAUGCUCAAACACAAUGCAGAAUCCCAAGAAACUGUGAAACUUUUCUGAGAAAAUGUUCUGAUUUGAAUUAGUUAGCUGUAUUCUGCAUUCAGCACAUUUACAAGCUUUGAAAUAUCGGACAUUGGCAAGCAAGCACUAACAUUUUAUAAGUAGCAGUUUGCAUCCAGGUUUGAGGUAAUGUAAUCCAACAUGCACGAGAACACAGUCUAGGUCCCCUUCUCCCUUCUAAGCAUAGCAGAAGGAUUAGGAAUAAUGAAUGGUGUGAAUUUUGCCACCUAGAGGGUUUCAUUUUGAUACCUGUUACACAGUCCUCUUGAGCACUGUGCUCAUUUUUCCUAUUGCUGAGAUAUGGAAAAUAAAACAGUAAUAGGAACGUGCACUGACAACACACCAUGUCAAUGCCCUAAAACGCAAAGUCUUGGAGAGGGUUCCAUAAUGGCUUCAGUAGAAGCAUAGCUCAUUCCCUGCUUUGCUAAUCAAUUUUCUGCAUGCCAUGUUCUCCCCGUUAUACCUCAUCCCUUAGGCUACUCUUGUAGCCCAAGUCAACCACACAGGUGAUAUACACCGGUGGAAUAGGUCAGGGCAAUUUCUUGAGGCACUGGAGGGGGAAAACCUGGGGUCUCUCCUCAGCCCUCCAAUGUGUCCAUAAUGCUCCUCAUGUGCCACAGGCUCCGUGCCACCAUGGAAUUUGAUCUGGAAGUCUAGAGCCCUUUUCAGGGAGUUGUUUAAGCCUUUAGUCCUUGUUUCUUCACUCUUAGUGUAAUUCUGUGUCAUUUUAGAGCCAGAAACACUGUUGUAACAGUCAAAUGUAGUAAUUAAGACUGUAGUAUCAGAUCACUGGCUUUUCAAUCUUUUUCUAAAAGGCUCUAUGAUCUCAGGCAAAUUUACUGAACUCUUCUUGCUGUAAUAUGGGGAGACAGUGGCCCUCACUUCAUAGAUUGUAGUGAGAUUAAAUAAGUUAAUAUAUGUAAAGCUUUAAUAAAGUACUUAGCAAAUAGUAUAUACAGUACUAUGCAAGUUUUAGCUAUAAAAUGACAAUAACAUUUCACAUAAAAAGGUUACUAUUAAUUGUUACUACCAUUUCCUAAUUAUUGAUUUAUGUAAUAAGCUAUGCCCCAAACCUACCAGGUUUAACUCUUGGUAUUCAGUGUGAACUGAAUUAUAUUCCCCUCAAAUUCAUUUAUUGAAACACUAAUGUGCUGGCAUUAGAAGGCAAGGCAUUUGGGAGGUAAUUAGGUCAUGAAGGUAGAAUCCUCAUGAUGGGAUUAAUGCCCUUAUUAGAACAGACUGAAGAGAAAUUUUACUCUGCCAUGAGAGACACAUAAAAAAAAAAAAAAAAGAUGAAGUCUACAAGCCAGGAAGCAAGCUCCCACCAAGAACUGAAUCAGCCAGCACCUUGUUCUUGAAUUUCCCAGCCUCCAGAACUGUGAGAAAUAAAUAUUAGUAGUUCAAGUCACCCAGACGGUGAUAUUUUUUGAUAUUUUGUGACAGCAGCCCAUACAAACCAAGGCUAUCUUCAAGCAAACAAUUUAGAAGUUCACAAUUUUUUUUCUGUCAAAUAUGUGGUGUUCGCAAAUUGAAAGCAUCUUGGAUUUCAGAACAGGCGAUAUCUUCACCAUGCGCACAAUGAAAUCAAUACUCAGAGAAGGCAGAUAAUUCUCCACGAAGCCAGAAAACUAAUAAAUGAACAGUUGAUUCCAUUAUUACCAUCCCUGCAAUACCACUCCUUAACACCUUUCUACUUAGACAUGAAAAUCUAUGGCUUUACCAAAAAAACUUGGGUGAAAUGUCCCACCAGACGGUGUGAUAUUUAGUAGCCCAGAAAGCUGCCAAGGGGUUGAAUGACACUAUCUGAAGAUAUGAACCAGUUUGCUCUCCAUAGGGAGGAUUUCAUCAACAGGAAACAGAUGCCUGGAAGGCAUUGGAUUUGCUAAGUGUCUAUGCCAUAUGAUUCUGCUGUUUGCGUUUGAUUUAGAAUGCUGAGCUGACUCAAAGUCAAACUAGAUACAGAGGAAGGGAUAACAUCCAUCAAGCAAGCUCAAACUGAUA
rnacentral:lncRNA from 1 species